GUCUUCAUGGUGUAAUGGUAGCACACUUGACACGUAUUCCAGAGAUCCAGGUUCGAAUUCCUGCGAGGACA
rnacentral:tRNA from 1 species